AAGCACACAGGUUUAUUGCAUAUCAAUCUCAUGUAUAAAUUCAUUGUAGCAUUGGAAAGAUUACAUUUGGUAUACAUUCCUAUUCUACAGCAUCAACCUCAAAAUCAGCUUUUUUCUAUUCAUUAUUUUAAAGGGAUUUCUCUACACAAGUACAUUUGAAUCUUUUAUCACAAGCAUCAAAAGGAAAUGUGUAAAAUCGCUCUUUUAAUUAUUUUCUACACUUCAUCUCUUUUAUUUCAUUAUGCUCCCAACAAAGCGAUUUCAUAUUAAUUAAUAACUGCCAACACUUUUCUUCUUCUUCCUCGGCAGUUGGAGGCUCCCAGCCUCGGACGCGAAGUCUAAUCACAUUUACAAUAAGUGCAUCUACGGAAUUCUUGUCCUCUCCAUAAAAAUUCCACAAACAGACACAAUAAUGACUGCUAAACACAAGUCAUGCACAGUUUACUUAUAAACAUAACAGAAGCAAUAUACAAUCAAGAAUGAUAUGGAACAAGCACCAUCCUCUUUCUCAAUGUUUUUUAAACAUUAUAUGAAAACCAGACAUUUACAAUUGAUUUAAAAAAACACUAUACAGUCCUAAAGGAAAAAAAAAAAAAACCAAACCCUAAAUCAGAUCUGUCCUGUAACAAUGGGAAAAGGAAUGACAAAGGAUGCACGGAUUUAUGAUUCUUGCAAGCACAAUAUAUAUAUGUUUUAAAUUACAUCUUCUGCAGGCUGGAAAUGACAUCAGGGCAAAACAGCUCUUGCUUUGAAGAGAGCAACGAGAAUGUAAAAUACAUUGAGAAUUACUUUCAGAAUUACUUUGUUCACAUGUGAAUUGCACAUCUGGAAAUCAAAGCUGCCUUUUUUUUCUUUUUCAUUCUUUUUUUUUUUUUUCCUUUUUUUUUUUUAAUUUAUAUUUUUUUCCCCAAAGUGGUAAUAAGAAUUAACGACAGAAAGAAGAGAAAAAUAACCUCGGAAUCAUUCAAGAACAGUUUAGUCACAGUAUCACUCAACACUACAGAGAAGAAGUUUCAUGGCUUGGUGAAGACACUACUGACCAGCGCCUCGGAGCAGAGGGUUUUGCCCUGGUGCCGCAGCCCGGAGCGGGCAGCCGCGGGCAGCUCCCAUGCCAUGACGCCUCCCGUUCCCCCGCCACGCACACACACACACAGUACAGCACGUAAAAACCGCAGGUAAAGUCAGCAGAUUGACCGGGGCGGAGGGCAGGGGGCUCUCAAUCCAGUGCUUCGAUGCUUAGAGUCAAACACGCUCAUGUCGUUGUGCAAGUGCUUUUCCAAAUGCUGCGUCUGAAGUGAAAAGGAGCCGCUCCCGAGAGCGUCUGUCACGAGUCUAAGUGCUGCUUAGGGAGAAAUCGAAAGCUUCCACUGGUCUGUUUUAAGCAAGACAGAAACCCAAGCUCGGAGCUUUGUCCUGGGAUGCUGGUGAGCAAACCCGGCCGCGUUUCGCUGUUGGACCCUGUUUGGCUUUGCUGCUGGCAUCUCCUCCUCCCUGCUGCAGUAUGUGAAGCACGGGAUGCUCGGGAUGCAUGGGAAAGGCACGUGCCCGGAGCAGCCGGCUGUCAAAGAGCAAACCAGGUGCCUCCAACCCACAUGUUCUCCGCACAUCCUGCACCCCCAGCUCUCUGCAUCAGCCACUGUGAUGAGCAUCACCAGCACUGCCUGCCAGCAGGAGAAAGGGCAGGUACAUGCAGCAGAACCAUCUCCUCCUCCCCGACCAGCUCAAGCAGAAAGGUCUUUGUGGUCAAAGCCACGGUCAGAAGUGAGGACCCGUCUUGGAGCACCUUCACUUCCCAGCAGCUGCCAACCGCAUCUGGCUACCCAAAAAUUCACAGCGCUUCUCCCCUCCUUGCUGUUCUGGCAAUAUGGCUAUGAGAUGGGAAAAUACUCUCAAUAAAUAGACCCUACACAAGCGUCCUUGGUUUAAAUCCUGCCUCGACUGGUGCCCUGGCUCUCAAAGGAACAGCCGGCCACAUUCCAAGCCUUGGCCUUGCUCUAUCGCACCAGUGUUGUGGGUCCCGAGCACGACAUGUUGGUGGCACCGGGUGGCUGCGAGCACAACAGCUCCAUGGCCCAUCGCACCCGAGGACCCCGGCCCUGUGCUCUGAUGGCAGAACCUGCCUCAACACGCACCAUCCAGGAAACACCCUCCAAAAUGAGGGAUUGCUUGUGCCAACACAGCAAAUCACGAACUCAACACCCGCUAUGAGCUGCAGCACGGUUCAAGUGCAAUCGAAUGACAGCUACGAGAUAAACAGAGAUUCAGUGAGUCUUUCUGUUUAUUUAAUGUGGGAAAAGUAAAACUUGUAAUCAGUGCUAAAUCAGAGGGGAUCCUACAGAGACACUGGCUGGAGAAAAUGGGAACAAGACUGAAUAAGGAGAUAUGGAAAGAAAAAAAUCAUUUCAUGAUUUUAAAAGCUCUAUUUGCAAUGUCCUUAAUCCCUGGCUGAUCUGUGCCCCCCGGUCCCCGUGCAGAGGAGCUCGUGCUCUGGAGAGCCAUGGGACAGCCCCGUGAAGGACACAGCAGCUGCCCCAGCCCAGGCAGAGCCAACAAACUGUGCUCCUGGAGAAACAACACAACAGGAGGGAUAAGAUACUGAACGGAAGACCAUAUAUACCCCAAAUAAAUCCCCACAGCAACAUUUCUUGGUACUUGGUCACAUUUUGGAGACCAACUCGCUGCUGCUCCUUUGGCUGCUCCAUCGCCUCCUCAUGCUGAGGAGCGCGAUGCCGACCUCCUCAAGGAUUGCUUCAACAAGGAACAAACCACUGGGGCAGAGCACGUGAACGCUUCCUAUUUCCCACAGCUCUUGUUCCAGCAGGCAGACAGCGCUGUGGUCCC
ensembl:lncRNA